rnacentral:lncRNA from 1 species
GGGUAUGUUGGAAGACUUUUAAAAUGACUAGUUGAGGUUAUCGUCCCUUUUUUGAGUUAUUCUUUGAACCACAAUGACUAGUUUCCAAGUGAAUUUGAAAAUAUAUCCUGCAGUCCACCACUAUCUAGAUGUUCUUUGCUUUUGACACCAUUAGCUGAUUUGACCCCCAUGGUAUCACCUCAAGCUAGCCAUCAAUUGGGGUAACUUAGAUUUGAGGAGGUAGUUUUUAAUUUGCAUGCUCCCUCUG